GUCCACGCCCUAAACGAUGUCAACUGGUUGUUGGACGGCUUGCUGUUCAGUAACGAAGCUAACGCGUGAAGUUGACCGCCUGGGGAGUGCGGCCGCAAGGUUGAAACUCAAAGGAAUUGACGGGGACCCCGCACAAGCGGUGGAUGAUGUGGUUUAAUUCGAUGCAACGCGAAAACCUUACCUACCCUUGACAUGCCAGUAACUUGCCAGAGAUGGCUUGGUGCUCGAAAGAGAACCUGGACACAGGUGCUGCAUGGCCGUCGU
rnacentral:rRNA from 1 species